UGGAGAGUUUGAUCCUGGCUCAGAUUGAACGCUGGCGGCAGGCUUAACACAUGCAAGUCGAGCGGAGAUGAGGUGCUUGCACCUUAUCUUAGCGGCGGACGGGUGAGUAAUGCUUAGGAAUCUGCCUAUUAGUGGGGGACAACAUUCCGAAAGGAAUGCUAAUACCGCAUACGUCCUACGGGAGAAAGCAGGGGAUCUUCGGACCUUGCGCUAAUAGAUGAGCCUAAGUCGGAUUAGCUAGUUGGUGGGGUAAAGGCCUACCAAGGCGACGAUCUGUAGCGGGUCUGAGAGGAUGAUCCGCCACACUGGGACUGAGACACGGCCCAGACUCCUACGGGAGGCAGCAGUGGGGAAUAUUGGACAAUGGGGGGAACCCUGAUCCAGCCAUGCCGCGUGUGUGAAGAAGGCCUUAUGGUUGUAAAGCACUUUAAGCGAGGAGGAGGCUACUGAGACUAAUACUCUUGGAUAGUGGACGUUACUCGCAGAAUAAGCACCGGCUAACUCUGUGCCAGCA
rnacentral:rRNA from 1 species